rnacentral:rRNA from 1 species
GACGAACGCUGGCGGCGUGCUUAACACAUGCAAGUAGAACGGGAAGGCCCGGCGUUUGUGGGGUGCUCGAGUGGCGAAAGGGUGAGUAAAACGUGAGUAAACCGCCCUUGACAUUGGGAUAACUUCAGGAAACUGGGGAUAAAACCGGAUAGGAGCAUCUGCGGCAUGGUGGGGGUAGGAAAGUUUCGGCGGUUGGGGAUGGACACGCGGAUUAUCAGCUUGUUAGCGGGGUGGUGGCUUACCAAGGCUUUGACGGGUCGCCGGCCUGAGAGGGUGACCGGGCACAUUGGGCCUCCGGUAGGGCCCAGACUCCAACUGGAGGCAUCGGUGGGAAACAUUGCGCAAUAGGCGGAAGCCUGAUACAGCGACUCCGCGUGCGGGAUGUCGGCUUUCGGGUUGUAAACCGCUUUCGCCUGUGACGUAGCGUGAGUGACGGUAACUUGUCAGAAAGCACCGGCUAACUACGUG